AUAAACGCUGGCGGCGUGCCUAAAACAUGCAAGUCGAACGGACACUUCGGUGUCAGUGGCGGACGGCUGAGUAACACGUGGGUGACCUGCCCCGGAGCGGGGGAUAACUGCCCGAAAGGGUGGCUAAUACCGCAGACAUCAUGGAUUCGGUUUCAUGAUUGAACCUUUGGGGUUCUGGGAGGGGCCCGCGGUCGAUUAGCUGGUUGGUGGGGUAACGGCCUACCAAGGCUGCGAUCGAUAGCUGGUCUGAGAGGAUGAUCAGCCAGACUGGGACUGCGAACGGCCCAGACUCCUACGGGAGGCAGCAGUUAGGAAUUUUGGGCAAUGGGCGAAAGCCUGACCCAGCAACGCCGCGUGGGUGAUGAAGGCCUUCGGGUCGUAAAGCCCUUUUCCCGGGGAAGAUGAUGACGGUACCCGGGGAAUCAGCCCCGGCUAACUACGUGCCAGCAGCCGCCGUAACAC
rnacentral:rRNA from 1 species